rnacentral:rRNA from 1 species
GACGAACGCUGGCGGCGUGCUUAACACAUGCAAGUCGAACGGAAAGGCCCUGCUUUUGUGGGGUGCUCGAGUGGCGAACGGGUGAGUAACACGUGAGUAACCUGCCCUUGACUUUGGGAUAACUUCAGGAAACUGGGGCUAAUACCGGAUAGGAGCUCCUGCUGCAUGGUGGGGGUUGGAAAGUUUCGGCGGUUGGGGAUGGACUCGCGGCUUAUCAGCUUGUUGGUGGGGUAGUGGCUUACCCAGGCUUUGACGGGUAGCCGGCCUGAGAGGGUGAACGGCCACAUUGGGACUGAGAGACGGCCCAGACGCCUACGGGAGGCAGCAGUGGGGAAUAUUGCACAAUGGGCGGAAGCCUGAUGCAGCAACGCCGCGUGCGGGAUGACGGCCUUCGGGUUGUAAACCGCUUUCGCCUGUGACGAAGCGUGAGUGACGGUAAUGGGUAAAGAAGCACCGGCUAACUACGUG